GCCAGAGUGGUGAAAUUGGUAGACACGACGGAUUCAAAAUCCGUUGCCCGCGAGGGCGUGCCGGUUCAAGUCCGGCCUCUGGUACCA
rnacentral:tRNA from 1 species